rnacentral:rRNA from 1 species
GACGUAGGGGGCAAGCGUUGUCCGGAAUUAUUGGGCGUAAAGAGCGUGUAGGCGGUCCGGUAAGUCGGCUGUGAAAGUCCAGGGCUCAACCCUGGGAUGCCGGUCGAUACUGCCGGACUAGAGUUCGGAAGAGGCGAGUGGAAUUCCCGGUGUAGCGGUGAAAUGCGCAGAUAUCGGGAAGAACACCCGUGGCGAAAGCGGCUCUCUGGAACGGUACUGACGCUGAGACGCGAAAGCGUGGGGAGCGAACAGG